UACGGGAGGCAGCAGUGGGGAAUAUUGCACAAUGGGCGCAAGCCUGAUGCAGCCAUGCCGCGUGUAUGAAGAAGGCCUUCGGGUUGUAAAGUACUUUCAGUCGUGAGGAAGGUGUUAAGGUUAAUAACCUUAGCAAUUGACGUUAGCGACAGAAGAAGCACCGGCUAACUCCGUGCCAGCAGCCGCGGUAAUACGGAGGGUCGCGAGCGUUAAUCGGAAUUACUGGGCGUAAAGGGCACGCAGGCGGUUAAUUAAGUUGGAUGUGAAAUCCCCGGGCUUAACCUGGGAAUGGCAUUCAAGACUGGUUAGCUAGAGUCUUGUAGAGGGGGUAGAAUUCCAUGUGUAGCGGUGAAAUGCGUAGAGAUGUGGAGGAAUACCGGUGGCGAAAGGCGGCCCCUGGACAAAGACUGACGCUCAUGUGCGAAAGCGUGGGGAGCGAAACAGGAUUAGAUACC
rnacentral:rRNA from 1 species